GGCUUCAUAGAUCAGUUGGUAUAGAGCAUCGAUCGCACUAGUAACGCGGAGGUCAUGGGUUCUAAUCCCGUUGAAGCCU